UACGAAGGGGGCUAGCGUUGCUCGGAAUCACUGGGCGUAAAGGGUGCGUAGGCGGGUCUUUAAGUCAGGGGUGAAAUCCUGGAGCUCAACUCCAGAACUGCCUUUGAUACUGAGGAUCUUGAGUUCGGGAGAGGUGAGUGGAACUGCGAGUGUAGAGGUGAAAUUCGUAGAUAUUCGCAAGAACACCAGUGGCGAAGGCGGCUCACUGGCCCGAUACUGACGCUGAACGGCGAAAGCUAGGGGAGCAAACGGG
rnacentral:rRNA from 1 species